rnacentral:rRNA from 1 species
CCUACGGGAGGCAGCAGUAGGGAAUAUUGGUCAAUGGAGGCAACUCUGAACCAGCCAUGCCGCGUGUAGGAUGACGGUCCUAUGGAUUGUAAACUGCUUUUAUACGAGAAGAAACACUGAUUCGUGAAUCAGCUUGACGGUAUCGUAAGAAUAAGGAUCGGCUAACUCCGUGCCAGCAGCCGCGGUAAUA